AACGUAGGAGACGAACGUUAUCCGGAGUUACUGGGCGUAAAGGGCGUGUAGGCGGUCUGAUAAGUUCGGCGUGAAAUUUCCCGGCUUAACCGGGGGAUGUCGUCGGAGACUGUCGGACUAGAGGGUGAUAGAGGCGUGUGGAAUUCCGGGUGUAGUGGUGAAAUGCGUAGAGAUCAGGAGGAACACCGAUGGCGAAGGCAGGUCUCUGGGCCAUAACUGACGCUGAGAAGCGAAAGCAUGGGGAGCGAACAGG
rnacentral:rRNA from 1 species